rnacentral:rRNA from 1 species
CUUAACUGACGCUAAAGCUCGAAAGUGCGGGUAUCGAACAGGAUUAGAUACCCUGGUAGUCCGCACGGUAAACGAUGGAUGCCCGCUGUCUGCGAUACACUGUAGGCGGCCAAGAGAAAUCGUUAAGCAUCCCACCUGGGGAGUACGCCGGCAACGGUGAAACUCAAAGGAAUUGACGGGGGCCCGCACAAGCGGAGGAACAUGUGGUUUAAUUCGAUGAUACGCGAGGAACCUUACCCGGGCUUGAACUGCCAGUGAACGAUUCAGAGAUGAUGAGGCCCUUCGGGGCGCUGGUGGAGGUGCUGCAUGGUUGUCGUCAGCUCGUGCCGUGAGGUGUCGGCUUAAGUGCCAUAACGAGCGCAACCCCUUUCUCCAGUUGCCAUCAGGUGAUGCUGGGCACUCUGGAGACACUGCCGCCGUAAGGUGUGAGGAAGGUGGGGAUGACGUCAAAUCAGCACGGCCCUUACGUCCGGGGCUACACACGUGUUACAAUGGGUGGUACAGAGAGUCGGUGCAUCGCAAGUUGCAUCUAAUCAUGAAAGCCAUCCUCAGUUCGGAUUGGGGUCUGCAACCCGACCCCAUGAAGCUGGAUUCGCUAGUA